CGCACGGUAGAGCAGCCCGGUAGCUCGCUUGGCUCAUAACCAAGAGGUCGCACGUUCGAAUCGUGCCUGUGCAACCA
rnacentral:tRNA from 1 species